AUUCCCCUAGUAAUGGCGAAUGAAGCGGGAACAGCUCAAAUUUGAAAUCUCCGUCGCCUGCGACGGCGAAUUGUAGUUUCGAGAAGCACUUUCUAGGCGAUCCGGGGCCGUCCAAGUUGCUUGGAACAGCACGUCAUAGAGGGUGACAACCCCGUCUGUGGCGGAGCCGGCCGCUGACGAUGUGCUUUCGACGAGUCGGGUUGUUUGGGAAUGCAGCCCAAAAUGGGUGGUAAACUCCAUCUAAAGCUAAAUAUUGGCACGAGACCGAUAGCGAACAAGUACCGUGAGGGAAAGAUGAAAAGCACUUUGAAAAGAGAGUUAAAAAGUACGUGAAACCGUUAAAAGGGAAACGAAUGAGGUUAGCAAUGCGUUCCGCGAGAUUCAGCCGGUGGUUGGGCUGGGCGGGCGGUUUGCGGAUCUGAAUGGACCGCUGCCGUUCGGGUCGGUCCCUCGACCGUCGCACUUCUCACGAGCGCGCGUCAGUGUCGGUAGGAACUGGGUCUCAAAGGCGCCGGGAAGGUAGGUCAGUCCCUUCGGGGUCAGACUGUUAUAGACCGACGUUUUCAUGGCUCGGAUCCCACCGAGGAGCCGCGGCACGUGCCUCUUUUGGCUGGGGUCCCGUCGUUCCGGUCGGUAGUCGACUGUGGUGGACUGCGUGCAGUGCAUCGCGACUGCUGCCGGUCGCUUCGGCGGUGACCUCACACCACGUGCCCAGGACGCUGGCGGUGACAUGGCCCCAUCCGACCCGUCUUGAAACACGGACCAAGGAGUCUAACAUGUGCGCGAGUCUUUGAGCGAUCGAAACUCGCAGGCGGAAUGAAAGUGAAGGCGGCUCCGGCCGCUGAGGUGAGAACCCCUCCUCGUGGGGGGCGCAUCAUCGACCGACCUAUUCUACUCUUAGGAAGGUUUGAGUAAGAGCGCAUCUGUUGG
rnacentral:rRNA from 1 species